AAAGAUUAAGCCAUGCAUGUCUAAGUAUAAGCAAUUUGUACUGUGAAACUGCGAAUGGCUCAUUAAAUCAGUUAUCGUUUAUUUGAUAGUACCUUACUACAUGGAUACCUGUGGUAAUUCUAGAGCUAAUACAUGCUAAAAACCUCGACUUCGGAAGGAGUGUAUUUAUUAGAUAAAAAACCAAUGCCCUUCGGGGCUCCUUGGUGAAUCAUAAUAACUUAGCGAAUCGCAUGGCCUUGCGCCGGCGAUGGUUCAUUCAAAUUUCUGCCCUAUCAACUUUCGAUGGUAGGAUAGUGGCCUACCAUGGUGGCAACGGGUAACGGGGAAU
rnacentral:rRNA from 1 species